rnacentral:rRNA from 1 species
AGCGAACGCUGGCGGCAGGCCUAACACAUGCAAGUCGAACGGAUCCUUCGGGAUUAGUGGCGGACGGGUGAGUAACACGUGGGAACGUGCCCUUUGGUUCGGAACAACGCAGAGAAAUUUGCGCUAAUACCGGAUGAGCCCUUCGGGGGAAAGAUUUAUCGCCGAAAGAUCGGCCCGCGUUGGAUUAGGUAGUUGGUGUGGUAAAGGCGCACCAAGCCUACGAUCCAUAGCUGGUCUGAGAGGAUGAUCAGCCACACUGGGACUGAGACACGGCCCAGACUCCUACGGGAGGCAGCAGUGGGGAAUCUUGCGCAAUGGGCGAAAGCCUGACGCAGCCAUGCCGCGUGAAUGAUGAAGGUCUUAGGAUUGUAAAAUUCUUUUACCAGGGACGAUAAUGGCGGUACCUGGAGAAAAAGCCCCGGCUAACUUCGUGCCAGCCGCCGCAGUAAGAC